AAUAAUAAAUAAAAUAUAAUAGAAAAAACUUGGACUUGGACCUCUCUCAUUUGAGCCCACAAAGCCAUGAAAAUCAGGUUAUAAAAGAGGGAGAUCAGACAGAAAAAGGAAGAGAAGCAAAAAUACUCGGAGGUUUCCUUGAAACAAAACCCUUGACAAAACCUGGAGAGAAACCUGACAGAGAACUCAGAGCAACCCCCAGGCAGCUCUGAAAAAU
rnacentral:lncRNA from 1 species